ACUAUCGAAGUUGCCUGCUUCGUUCGCUUGCUCUGUUCGCUUGACCAGCCAUCAUCCUACAGAUACUUACCAACAGAACUAAAAAUGAUAAGCAAUGACCACAAGCAAUGAUGAUAACCUGUAAACAAGAUGUAGAAGCUAUAAGCUCACCUCUCACAGGACGCAGAACAAAGUAUGUUGCCUAGCACAACCACUAACAAUGCAUGUAAGAUGAAGAGCCGAUGAGCAAAGGCCUUAGGGGCGCGUCUA
rnacentral:lncRNA from 1 species